rnacentral:piRNA from 1 species
UGGGAAAAGGACCCGAGGUGCCACCCAAGGC